rnacentral:misc_RNA from 1 species
CGCACGAGCGUCAUUACAACCCUCAAGCUCUGCUUGGUAUUGGGCAGCACCGUCCCGGUGCGCCUCAAAAUCAGUGGCGGCGCCGCUCGGCUUCAAGCGUAGUAAUUCUUCUCGCUCUGGAGGCCCGGGUGCGCACCUGCCAGCAAGCCUAAUUUUCCAAAGGUUGACCUCGGAUCAGGUAGGGAUACCCGCUGAACUUAA